GGUUUAAUUACCCAAAUUUAAGGUAACUGAGUGUUUCGGACCAGAGCUUCGGCUAUUGUGGCUUGAAGCAAAAUUUUGGGACGUCCUGCAAUUCUGUGGGACAAC
rnacentral:sRNA from 1 species